rnacentral:lncRNA from 1 species
AUGCCCAGCAGCCACGCCGGGGCAGUGGGGUCGUGGGCCCGCCUUGGUUGUGAGCCGGACGAGCCCUCUGACUUCCUCACCCUACGGUGGGGACUUUGGACAUCUUCACAGGGUGUUGUGAACGUCCGGGGGGCCGGGGGCCAGCUCUGGACUCUGUGGCUGAGGGGUGGGGACUGUCAGACCCCAGGACCCCGGGGCACCCGGGAGGAGCCAGCCCAGCUUCCGCUGCGUGCCUCUUCGGUGGCCCCAGCCUUCCUCUCUGGCGCUUGGGGUCAGGCCGCCUGGGGUGUGAGACCCCUGCUGCUGCUCGGGCCUCAGCCCUUCUCCCAGGGGCUGGGCUUCCCCCGCCGCCUCCCCCGCCGGAGCCUGACCGCAGGACCCUUGCGCUGGUGCGCCCCGGGAGCCUGGCCGCCUUCCAGAGGGCCCUGGAGGAGCCGCUGUGGCCCGGCCCCAUUCCUUCCUCCUCGCUCGCCUCCCUGGGACCCUGAGGCUGCACCCACUUCACCUCUGUUUAUUAUUGUUUUAAAAAGUACUUCUUUCCCACAAUUCUCCUACACUGGAAGGAGUUUUUACUUGGACUCUUAAAAUAUAUUUACUACUGGCCCAGGGUCAGGUGGCUGAUGGAUUCACACGGCAAGUGGGAUCCUGAGUCAGUGGGAAUCCGGCCUUUCGGGGCGUUUACACACACCCCUCCGGGCUUGGGAGGCGGCGACAGCUCCCGGGGAGGCGGCGGGGCCGGCUGAGCCGCAGCCCACGGCCCAUCUGCUCCGAAGCGUCUGGGAGCCGACAGGCGCGCCUGCACGCGGGCCCCGGGCAUGUGGUGACGGCAUGUUCAGACCAGACUGUCACGGAGCUGACAGCCCAGAAACACACCCGUACGGAGACGAGACGGGAGUUUGUUGUUCUCUCCCAGAGAAGAAACUCGGCAGCAGGUGGCCUGGUGUGGCGUUCGGGAACGUGGGGUCUGGCUUGCGCUAGCCUGCUGCUCCCUCUUCCUCCAUCACCGCGUGGGUGUCACCUUAAGGUCCUGAGUGGCUUAGGGGCACCAGACAUUCAAAGUCUGGGCACACGUGGCUGGGACUUUGUGUGCCUGGAGCCGGCCCCCGGGCACCCUUUUCGGAUCAUGGUCCUUCCUCCAUGCGCCCUGGCCCCCGGAUGUAUGGCCUGGGGCCUGGGUCGGAUGCUCCCAGCAGGCAGCUGGGGGUUAGCAGGGAGGAAGCACUUGGGGCUAGGACGGGAAGUGGAUUGGCAUAUCACCCCAUCUUCCCCCUGGGGGGGGGGCAUUUAUCAACAGCCUCCCACCUCCCUGGAGCUUUGCAUGAUUUCCUGGCAUCUCGGAGGGCUGCAGGAUCGUCCCAUUCCAGGGGUACAGAAAUUGAGGCCCCGAGAGCCCGUGGAAUCUUGUGACUGGCCAGGAGAGCUCCACGACUGGCAGGGUGGGUGCAGGGGGCAGGAGGGAGACCCUUUCCCGAGGGGAAGCAGAGAGGGCCCAGCGGCCCCCCGAGGGCGCCCAGCACCGGGCCCCUUCCUGGCCUCACCUGCUUCAGCCGCCUUCUGCGCGCAGGGCCCGCAAGUGUGUUCCCGCGGAGCAGAUUCAACGUGAGCGGCACCAGCAUCCCCGUUCAGAGGCCGGGCUGUCCCCAGGGAGAGGAGGGGCCCCCAGUGGGUCCCACAGGAAGCCGGUCCCGUCACUGCCCCGCGGAUGUGCAUUCCAGAGGCCCCUUGGAGUCCGGCCUUGGAGCUUCCAGGCCCGCGGCCCGCUACGUGACGGCCCGCGUGUGCACACGCCCGGCUGCGUGUGGGUGUUGGGUGUGCGCCGGCCCGGAGUGCAGGGGCAGCAGCGUGUGGACUCGUCAUUGGAACAGAGCAGCAGGCAGGGCCGGGGCCUCCCGGUGCGGCGAUGAGGGUGCCGUCCCCUGUGCCGCGCAGAGCCACUGCCGUCUGCGGCGCCCCCUCCCUCAGAGUCCCGGCGGCCCGGGCUCGGGGGGCCCCGGCGUGGGAGACGGGCUCCGGUCCCCAGGAAAGCCUGUCACCCAGCCACCCGACUUUCAGCGGCUGGGAUUGUUUUCAGACUCGGGCUUUAGGGCUCCGACAGGUUACGGCAAAUUAAUCCAGCGGGACAAAUCUGCCUGCCUUUUCUCUCCUGAGGACGAUGAGGAUUCUGUCUCUGGGGAAAUAAAAACCAACACUGGGAGAACUGUAGAAUGUGCUGGACUUCACCUGGAAUGUUUCUUCUUCUUCUUCUUCUUCUUCUUCUUUUUUUUUUUUAAGAUUUUAUUUAUUUAUUCACGAGAGACCCAGAGAGAGAGGCAGAGACGCAGGCAGAGGGAGAAGCAGGCUCCCUGUGCGGACCCCGAUGCAGGACUUGAUCCCCGGACCCCGGGGUCACGCCCUGAGCCGGAGGCAGACGCUUCACUGUUGGAGCCCCCCAGGAGCCCCUGCCCCCUCCCCCCGCCCCCAUUUGACUUCUGAACAGUUAAUGAGGUGAGUCAUCUGAGUGGUGGAUUUGGGGAUUUGACCACACCCAAACUUCUCAUUCUCCCAGAAAUGCCUGUGCCCCAGCAGCCUCUGCCUCCCUGAGCCUUUCCUGUGCAAACAGAUCAGCCCCAGGCCCCGGAGGCUGGGGAGGUCACACCCUCCUGGCUACUCCUGGGGGGUCAGUGGAAGUGAAUGCCCCUUGAUGUCAUCCUUCCCCUCCCUCCCCCCCAGGCCAGCCGCCUAGGCCUGCCCACACCUGCAGCCUCAGCAGACAUCCCCGUGUGGUGGCUGGACUGUGGUCUCUGCCGCCGCAUGCCCGCCAGCACCCCCAGGGCCUCUGAGCCCGCCCAGCACUGCCCGCCAGCUGGGAGCUUCUCCACAGAUGCACUAUAGCCUGCCUAGGGCCUUACUGCCCUUAGCUUGCCGGUCGUGGGGUCCCCCCAAACCUACCAUCUCCACAGUGGUGACAGGAUCUGCCCAAUGUCUGUGACUCCUGCUUAGACCAGGCAUUGGAGGAACCUGGGUAGGCAGUGUGUGUGCACGCAUGUGUGCAUGCGUGCAUGUGCAGUGUGCACGUGUGCAUGUAUGUGCUGUGUGCAGACACAUGAAUGUGCACGUGUGUGUUUCUCAUUAAUCCCCAAAUAUACAUUAUUGUAUUUGACCCGAUUUUGAUCAUUUUUUGCAGCACUAUUUUGUUGAGACCCAAUUGUUUGGGGCUGUCAGUUAUAAUUUGCACAUCCGUGACAUUUCCUGAGCUGGUGUUCCCUGGCUGGUCAGUUUGGGAAACAUUGGCAUAGACCAAACUUUGAGGAGCUCAAAAUAUGAUUUUGACAAUCUCCCUGUCAUCCCUGACGCCCACACUUCCCCUAAACCUGAGAACAUUUGAUCUGGAGGAUUCUGAAUGUCUUUUUGGGGGAUUCUCUCCACAUCCAGUGGGGGGGGGCAGAAACCAGGCCGGAAGACCCUGGAGCUGUGUGAGCAGGACAGGAGGGAAACACAGGGCGGCCUGUGUGGGGUGAACCUGCGUACGUUCUGGUCCUGCUUCUGCAUGUUGGGGUCAGAUUCACGGGGCGGGCCCCACGUACACUUUGUAAACCUCGGGCCUUUCCCCUGACUCACGGGGAGUGAGCCUGAGUGCUGUCAGAGUCGUGCGGCAGUCUGAUUUGAAUAGUGUUGUAGAGAUGUGUCACUUACACGGUUAGAUUCAUGUCACGGGCAAUUGUUAUUGAACAGACCGCAGUAACCUGACCUUCAGUUGGAAAAGCCGCAUCCAUGCCCAUCCCCUCUCUUUCUGUAAAUGGGCACUUUCCUACCCCAAAGAGCAUGUGAGGAUCACGCAGGCUGACGUGUGCAAAGCUUUGGCACAGCAGAGCCAAGAAGGGUUCAUAGGCUGAAUUGCGUCCCCUCCAAAUUCGUAUGCUGGUGUCCUGACCCCCAGACUCUCAGAAUGUGGCUCUAUCGUCUUUACAGAGGUGAUUAAGCUAAAACGAGGUCACUGGGGAGGGCCUCAAUCCGAUCUGGCUGGCGUGUCCUUACAAGAAGAGAUCGGGACACAGAUGUGCACAGAGGGAGACCAUGUGAAGACACAGGGGAAAGACGGCGUCCACACACCCAGGAGAGGGGCCUCAGGAGGAGCCAGCCCUGCCCACGCCUGGACCUCGGACCUCCAGCCUCCAGCCUCUGGCCCCGAGAGGGAAUAUGUUUCUCUUGUUUAAGACGCCCGGCCUGUGGUGCUUUGUUGUGGCUUUGUUGCGGCAGCCCCAGGACAUUGGUACAGCAGGUGCUCAGCAAGUAUGAGUUGCUACCAGUAGGCUUUCUCCAGCGUUGAAUUAUGGCACUCUAUUUCUUGAGGACACCUGAGACACAUUUCUACGUGCUUGGAACUUCACCUAUGCAUAUUUAAAAAUGUAUUUUAGGAAGAGAAAUGUUAGCACAUUUUGCUGCUAGUGAGAAAUCCAGCGGCAUCUGUUUUAAAAAUACUUGUGUGGUUCCGUUCCUUGGAGCUGGACAUCACUGGUCCUGGCCGUCACUCCAGGGUGGGGGGGGUGGGCUCAGCAGACCCCUGGUGAGUUCCAGGGGUCAGAGUUUCAGUGUCCGGUAACGCCACAGGGUCCUGUGUGUGACUGGUUAGCCUGUUUGGUGUCAGAAUUAACCCAGUGCCUUUGUCAGCGGAUUUUACUUGCUGUGUCUAAGAGUCACUUACCAAGCCCCGCCCUCUAUGCCCAGGCCUGCUCCCGCUGCAGAGCAUGGGUGACACAGGUUUGGGGGCCUUAACAGCAAGGGCGGACAAGGGGCCUUGUUCUCUCCUGCCAGUACAUGUGGCCCAGCGGCUGCUGCCUUUGUCUGUGAGCCUGUGAUGUCCACGUGGCCUGGUCACUUAGGUCCCCUGGCCCAGGGACCCCUAGAGAAACCGUAUGCCUUUUCCAUCAGCUGUUGAGUGGAAAAAGGGGGGUUCCCUGCUCCCGGGAGCAGUGAAGGGGAGGCUCUGGCCAUGCAGGUCCAUGAGGAGAGUCUGCAAUAGGCAUCUGAGUACUUGUGAGUCCUCCUACCCUCACCCUCUGAGUGGGGCCCCGUCCCCUCUGCGGAGCCCCGCCCCCUCCACGGAGCCCUGCCCUCUGUGCCCAGCCCUGCUCCCCUGCAGAGCCUCAUCCCCUCUACGAGGCCCCGCCCCUUUGCCAAGCCCCGCCCUCUGUACAGAGCCCUGCCCCCUGCACACAGUGC